rnacentral:rRNA from 1 species
UGAGGAAUAUUGCGCAAUGGGGGCAACCCUGACGCAGCAACGCCGCGUGAGUGAGGAAGGUUUUCGGACCGUAAAGCUCUGUCGAGCGGGAAGAAAUGCAUGGUGGCUAAUAUCCAUCAUGCUUGACGGUACCGCUAAAGGAAGCACCGGCUAACUCCGUGCCAGCAGCCGCGGUAAUACGGGGGGUGCGAGCGUUGUUCGGAAUUAUUGGGCGUAAAGAGCGUGUAGGCGGCCGAAUAAGUCAGAUGUGAAAUCCCUGGGCUUAACCCAGGACGUGCAUUUAAAACUAUUCGGCUGGAGUGGGGGAGAGGAAAGUGGAAUUCCUGGUGUAGAGGUGAAAUUCGUAGAUAUCAGGAGGAACACCGGUGGCGAAGGCGACUUUCUGGCCCUAUACUGACGCUGAGACGCGAGAGCGUGGGUAGCAAACAG